rnacentral:rRNA from 1 species
GAUGAACGCUGGCGGCGUGCCUAAUACAUGCAAGUCGAGCGAACAGACGAGGAGCUUGCUCCUCUUACGUUAGCGGCGGACGGGUGAGUAACACGUGGAUAACCUACCUAUAAGACUGGGAUAACUUCGGGAAACCGGAGCUAAUACCGGAUAAUAUAUUGAACCACAUGGUUCAAUAUUGAAAGACGGAUUUGCUGUCACUUAUAGAUGGAUCCCCGCGUCAUUAGCAAGUUGUUAAGGAAACGGCUUACCAAGGCAACGAUGCUUAGCCGACCUGAGAGGGUGACCGCCCCAACGGGAACGGGACAACGGCCAAGAUUCCUAGGGGAGGAGGCGUAGGGGAACCUUCGGAAUUGGGGGAAGGCCUGACGGAGCACCCCGCGGGGAGGGAGGAGGGUUUCCGGAUCGUAAAACCUUGUUAUUAGGGAAAACGAAAGGUGUAAGUAAAUAUGCACGUAUUGACGGUAACUAAUCAGAAAGCCACGGCUAACUACGUG